rnacentral:rRNA from 1 species
ACUUUUGUCCGGAAAGAAAUCCUUGGUUCUAAUAUAGCCGGGGGAUGACGGUACCGGAAGAAUAAGCACCGGCUAACUACGUGCCAGCAGCCGCGGUAAUACGUAGGGUGCGAGCGUUAAUCGGAAUUACUGGGCGUAAAGCGUGCGCAGGCGGUUUGUUAAGACCGAUGUGAAAUCCCCGGGCUCAACCUGGGAACUGCAUUGGUGACUGGCAAGCUAGAGUAUGGCAGAGGGGGGUAGAAUUCCACGUGUAGCAGUGAAAUGCGUAGAGAUGUGGAGGAAUACCGAUGGCGAAGGCAGCCCCCUGGGCCAAUACUGACGCUCAUGCACGAAAGCGUGGGGAGCAAACAGGAUUAGAUACCCUGGUAGUCCA